UACGUAGGGUGCAAGCGUUGUCCGGAAUUAUUGGGCGUAAAGAGCUCGUAGGCGGUCUGUCGCGUCUGCUGUGAAAACUCAGGGCUUAACCCUGAGCUUGCAGUGGGUACGGGCAGACUGGAGUGCGGCAGGGGAGACUGGAAUUCCUGGUGUAGCGGUGGAAUGCGCAGAUAUCAGGAGGAACACCGGUGGCGAAGGCGGCUUGCUGGGCCUUACCUGACGCUGGAGGAGCGAAAAGCCGUGGGGGAGCGAAACAGG
rnacentral:rRNA from 1 species